UUACUGAGUUUACGCUCUACAACCCUUUGUGAACAUACCUAUAACUGUUGCUUCGGCGGGUAGGGUCUCCGUGACCCUCCCGGCCUCCCGCCCCCGGGCGGGUCGGCGCCCGCCGGAGGAUAACCAAACUCUGAUUUAACGACGUUUCUUCUGAGUGGUACAAGCAAAUAAUCAAAACUUUUAACAACGGAUCUCUUGGUUCUGGCAUCGAUGAAGAACGCAGCGAAAUGCGAUAAGUAAUGUGAAUUGCAGAAUUCAGUGAAUCAUCGAAUCUUUGAACGCACAUUGCGCCCGCCAGCAUUCUGGCGGGCAUGCCUGUUCGAGCGUCAUUUCAACCCUCAAGCUCUGCUUGGUGUUGGGGCCCUACGGCUGACGUAGGCCCUCAAAGGUAGUGGCGGACCCUCCCGGAGCCUCCUUUGCGUAGUAACUUUACGUCUCGCACUGGGAUCCGGAGGGACUCUUGCCGUAAAACCCCCAAUUUUCCAAAGGUUGACCUCGGAUCAGGUAGGAAUACCCGCUGAACUUAAGCAUAUCAAUAAGCGGAGGAAAAGAAACCAACAGGGAUUGCCUCAGUAACGGCGAGUGAAGCGGCAACAGCUCAAAUUUGAAAUCUGGCCCUA
rnacentral:rRNA from 1 species